rnacentral:rRNA from 1 species
GGGGAAUAUUGCACAAUGGGCGCAAGCCUGAUCCAGCCAUGCCGCGUGAGUGAUGAAGGCCCUAGGGUUGUAAAGCUCUUUCAACGGUGAAGAUAAUGACGGUAACCGUAGAAGAAGCCCCGGCUAACUUCGUGCCAGCAGCCGCGGUAAUACGAAGGGGGCUAGCGUUGUUCGGAUUUACUGGGCGUAAAGCGCGCGUAGGCGGAUUGGUCAGUUAGGGGUGAAAUCCCAGGGCUCAACCCUGGAACUGCCCUUAAUACUGCCGGUCUUGAGUAUGGUAGAGGUGAGUGGAAUUCCGAGUGUAGAGGUGAAAUUCGUAGAUAUUCGGAGGAACACCAGUGGCGAAGGCGGCUCACUGGACCAUGACUGACGCUGAGGUGCGAAAGCGUGGGGAGCAAAC